rnacentral:rRNA from 1 species
GACAGAGGGUGCAAACGUUGUUCGGAAUUACUGGGCGUAAAGCGCGUGUAGGCGGCUAAGUAAGUCGGGCGUGAAAUCCCACGGCUCAACCGUGGAAGUGCACUCGAAACUGCAUAGCUAGAGUCCUGGAGAGGAAGGUGGAAUGCUUGGUGUAGAGGUGAAAUUCGUAGAUAUCAAGCGGAACACCGGUGGCGAAGGCGGCCUUCUGGACAGUGACUGACGCUGAGACGCGAAAGCGUGGGGAGCAAACAUG